CCCCUCCAGCCCAGCUCGGGCUCCAGCUCCAGCGCCGGCGCUUCAGCUGCGACCGCGAGCCCUCUCAAGCAAGGCCUACCCUCUGAAGAGGUCCAAGCAACGGAAGUACUACUACGAAGCUGCCUUUCUGGCCAUCCUUGAGAAAAACAGACAGAUGGCCAAGGAGAGGGGCCUAAUAAGCCCCAGUGAUUUUGCCCAGCUGCAAAAAUACAUGGAAUACUCCACCAAAAAGGUCAGUGAUGUCCUAAAGCUCUUCGAGGAUGGCGAGAUGGCUAAAUAUGUCCAAGGAGAUGCCAUUGGGUACGAGGGAUUCCAGCAAUUCCUGAAAAUCUAUCUGGAAGUGGAUAAUGUUCCCAGACACCUAAGCCUGGCACUGUUUCAAUCCUUUGAGACUGGUCACUGCUUAAAUGAGACAAAUGUGACAAAAGAUGUGGUGUGUCUCAAUGAUGUUUCCUGCUACUUUUCCCUUCUGGAGGGUGGUCGGCCAGAAGACAAGUUAGAAUGGUCUUAAGAAACAGAAGAGGAUGGGGGGAGAGGUUGAGUCCUCUAGGACUAAAUUUGAAAGUAAGUCCCAAGCUCUUGACCCCUCAAAGA
rnacentral:sRNA from 1 species